rnacentral:rRNA from 1 species
AUGAUCAUCUUGCAUUCUGAGUUAUUCCUUACAUUCUGUAUCCUAUGUCGGAAUUUUAUCAUUCUGACUAAAUCUUUGUCUUGUUUACCUAGGAUGGUCAACACACGCACUAACCCUGCUCCUCAAGAGCAGGCCGAAGGCAGUGAAGUCAGGAAUGCAAAUCUGCCUCAUCCUCCUUCCCUAGCCGAGGUUAUGAUGGAAGCCGAAAGAAACAAGCGGGAGACCAACCGUUUGUUGGAGCGUAUUGAACAGAACACAGCACACCAUCAGAGGACUAACGUGGUGUCACUCAGUGAUUUCAUCAAAUUACAUCCACCCACGUUCCACCACUCCGUCGAGCCUCUCGACGCUGAUGACUGGCUUCGUAGUAUCUCUCACAAGCUGCGUUCCGCGCUAGUAGCUGAGGCUGACAAGGUCACCUUUGCUGCAUAUCAUCUUGAAGGCCCCGCCAGUCUAUGGUGGGAGAAUUAUGGAGCUAUGCGCCCAGCGGGCCAUGUCACUACUUGGGCUGAAUUCAGCGAGGCUUUCCGUGAACAUCACAUUCCGGAGGGUCUCAUGGACCGUAAACGUGAGGAAUUUUGCAGUUUCACUCAGGGCCGACUCUCUGUGGAUGCUUACAGCAGGGAGUUCGGUAACCUCGCACGAUAUGCAACUGAGGAAGUUUCUACUGAUGCCAAGAAGCAAGCAAGGUUCCGUAAGGGACUUAGUCCUGAGCUUCGCCGCGACCUCCGUCUGCAUGAGUGCACAUCUUUUCAGAAGCUUGUUAACAAGGCCAUCAGUGCUGAGACUGGUCAGACUGAUUAUGACGCAACACGCAAGCAUGGCCGUGAUGUGGGUUCCUCAUCCGGUGCUGGUUCUCAGAAGCGCCGCGUGUGGGUGCCCAACACUGCCCUGCCACCCAGGUUCACACCGAGGCCAUCCUUCCAGGCGCCUCGCCCCGUUCAACAGUCUGCACCAGCCAAGCCCUAUGGGGGUCCAACCAACAGUGCUCCUCCACGCACCAGUUCCGUGACUUGUUUCAAGUGUGGGGAAUCUGGCCACUAUAUGCGUGAGUGUCCCCAGACCAACCCCAACCAAUCUGCUAAAGCUGUUGGCCGUGGCAAGCCGACGGGGAAAGUGUUCCACGCCAAGCCGGCCACCGCUACACGUGGCCAUGUCAACUGUAUCUCUGCCGAAGAAGCUCAAGAGGAUCCCAACGUCGUUCUCGGUACGCUCCUUGUUAAUUGCCACCCGACAUCUGUUCUUUUCGAUACAGGAGCCUCUCAUUCAUUUAUAUCCGAGAACUAUGCUCGUUUGCAUAACACCGCAUUCUGUGACAUGCCAUCCACUAUGGAAAUUUCUACUCCCGGUUCUAGAUGGCAGACCUCCAGGGUAAGUUAUGGAAAUGAAAUCCAAGUCGACAGACUUGUUUUCCUUGCAUCUUUGAUAGCUCUCAAAUUUUCAGAUAUUAAUAUCAUUUUGGGUAUGGACUGGAUGUCAGCUCAUCAUGCCAAAAUUGAUUGCUUCUCUAGGACUGUUCAACUCACUCAUCCUUCGGGGAAGAUAGUCAAUGUCUUGACCCGAAUAGCCAAGCGACAGUUAUAUUCUCUUAACGCCAACCCUUUGCCAGACCUUUAG